ACAGGGAUUGCCCUAGUAACGGCGAGUGAAGCGGCAACAGCUCAAAUUUGAAAUCUGGCUUCGGCCCGAGUUGUAAUUUGUAGAGGAAGCUUUUGGUGAGGCACCUUCUGAGUCCCCUGGAACGGGGCGCCAUAGAGGGUGAGAGCCCCGUAUAGUCGGAUGCCGAUCCAAUGUAAAGCUCCUUCGACGAGUCGAGUAGUUUGGGAAUGCUGCUCAAAAUGGGAGGUAAAUUUCUUCUAAAGCUAAAUACCGGCCAGAGACCGAUAGCGCACAAGUAGAGUGAUCGAAAGAUGAAAAGCACUUUGAAAAGAGGGUUAAAUAGCACGUGAAAUUGUUGAAAGGGAAGCGUUUGUGACCAGACUUGCGCCGUUCCGAUCAUCCGGUGUUCUCACCGGUGCACUCGGGACGGCUCAGGCCAGCAUCGGUUUUGGCGGGGGGACAAAGGUCCUGGGAACGUAGCUCCUCCGGGAGUGUUAUAGCCCAGGGCGUAAUGCCCUCGCCGGGACCGAGGUUCGCGCAUCUGCAAGGAUGCUGGCGUAAUGGUCACCAACGACCCGUCUUGAAACACGGACCAAGGAGUCAAGGUUUUGCGCGAGUGUUUGGGUGUAAAACCCGCACGCGUAAUGAAAGUGAACGUAGGUGAGAGCUUCGGCGCAUCAUCGACCGAUCCUGAUGUAUUCGGAUGGAUUUGAGUAAGAGCGUUAAGCCUUGGACCCGAAAGAUGGUGAACUAUGCUUGGAUAGGGUGAAGCCAGAGGAAACUCUGGUGGAGGCUCGCAGCGGUUCUGACGUGCAAAUCGAUCGUCAAAUCUGAGCAUGGGGGCGAAAGACUAAUCGA
rnacentral:rRNA from 1 species